UUUCCUGGUUCGCCUGGUUUUAUUUUAUUUCUGAACUGUGGCGUGUGCCCACGCUUCUGUGAUCGGGCUGAAGCAAUCCUUUGCCCGAGUGUCGUGCCGGGAAUUUUAAAUUGCCUCCGUUGCUGGUCUUAGCCUGUGGGGAGCCAGACCAGCUGGCAAUUGAGUCUGGGACGACUAUUACCAGUACGAGUGGACCCGUGGGGCAUAAGCCUUCCAUUGUGUGGAUGAAGGACGUGCCAGUGGCCCUGGGACCUCAGGUGGUGGGUCGUUUUCACACUUUCUUUUGUACAGCACCGGGUGGGCUGCAGUGAUUUUCGUUUUGUGUGAUUUUCUUUUGGGUCCACGGCUGCUGUGGAUGAAGGACGUGCCAGUGGCCCUGGGACCUCAGGUGGUGGGUCGUUUUCACACUUUCUUUUGUACAGCACCGGGUGGGCUGCAGUGAUUUUCGUUUUGUGUGAUUUUCUUUUGGGUCCACGGCUGCUGGUAAGUCCAAGUUCCAUGGUUGUUUUAUUUUCGCUUUAAGACACUGUCAACAAUGACGCUACAUUUUGGUUUCUAAUAUUUUAUUUAUUCUUAUUAUAAAUAAACUGUUUUAAUAUUGGAGCCAACCUGCCUCGGAGUGCAUCCUUGAAUCUGUGCGGCCUCUUUUUAUUCCUUUUAUCUAUUUUUCUUAAAUAUAUUUCCUAGGGGUGAAAAUCCCCUAGGUGGCGUUGUCAUUUUAUUUCCUUUUAUCUAACCCC